GCAGUGAGGAAUAUUGGUCAAUGGGAGAGAUCCUGAACCAGCCAAGCCGCGUGAGGGAAGACGGCCCUAUGGGUUGUAAACCUCUUUUGUCGGAGAACAAAACCCGGGACGAGUCCCGGACUGCGUGUAUCCGAAGAAAAAGCAUCGGCUAACUCCGUGCCAGCAGCCGCGGUAAUACGGAGGAUGCGAGCGUUAUCCGGAUUUAUUGGGUUUAAAGGGUGCGUAGGCGGUCCGUUAAGUCAGCGGUAAAAUUGCGGGGCUCAACCCCGUCGAGCCGUUGAAACUGGCAGACUUGAGUUGGCGAGAAGUACGCGGAAUGCGCGGUGUAGCGGUGAAAUGCAUAGAUAUCGCGCAGAACUCCGAUUGCGAAGGCAGCGUACCGGCGCCACACUGACGCUGAGGCACGAAAGCGUGGGGAUCGAACAGGAUUAGAUACCCUGGUAGUCCACGCAGUAAACGAUGAAUGCUGGUUGUCCGGGUCGAAUGAGAUCUGGGCGGCGA
rnacentral:rRNA from 1 species